CAAGGCUUGACAUACGCCGGAAACGUCCAGAGAUGGGCGCCCCCUUGUGGUCGGUGUACAGGUGGUGCAUGGUUGUCGUCAGCUCGUGUCGUGAGAUGUUGGGUUAAGUCCCGCAACGAGCGCAACCCUUGUUCUGUGUUGCCAGCGAGUAAUGUCGGGGACUCACAGGAGACUGCCGGGGUCAACUCGGAGGAAGGUGGGGACGACGUCAAAUCAUCAUGCCCCUUAUGUCUUGGGCUGCACACGUGCUACAAUGGUCGGUACAAAGGGCUGCGAUGCCGCGAGGCGGAGCGAAUCCCAAAAAGCCGGCCUCAGUUCGGAUUGGGGUCUGCAACUCGACCCCAUGAAGUUGGAGUUGCUAGUAAUCGCAGAUCAGCAUGCUGCGGUGAAUA
rnacentral:rRNA from 1 species